rnacentral:rRNA from 1 species
GAUGAACGUUAGCUACAGGCUUAACACAUGCAAGUCGAGGGGCAGCAUUUUAGUUUGCUUGCAAACUAAAGAUGGCGACCGGCGCACGGGUGAGUAACACGUAUCCAACCUGCCGAUAACUCGGGGAUAGCCUUUCGAAAGAAAGAUUAAUAUCCGAUGGUAUAUUAAAACCGCAUGGUUUUACUAUUAAAGAAUUUCGGUUAUCGAUGGGGAUGCGUUCCAUUAGUUUGUUGGCGGGGUAACGGCCCACCAAGACUACGAUGGAUAGGGGUUCUGAGAGGAAGGUCCCCCACAUUGGAACUGAGACACGGUCCAAACUCCUACGGGAGGCAGCAGUGAGGAAUAUUGGUCAAUGGACGAGAGUCUGAACCAGCCAAGUAGCGUGAAGGAUGACUGCCCUAUGGGCUGUAAACUUCUUUUAUAUGGGAAUAAAGUAUUCCACGUGUGGGAUUUUGUAUGUACCAUAUGAAUAAGGAUCGGCUAACUCCGUGCCAGCAGCCGCGGUAAUACGGAGGAUCCGAGCGUUAUCCGGAUUUAUUGGGUUUAAAGGGAGCGUAGGUGGAUUGUUAAGUCAGUUGUGAAAGUUUGCGGCUCAACCGUAAAAUUGCAGUUGAAACUGGCAGUCUUGAGUACAGUAGAGGUGGGCGGAAUUCGUGGUGUAGCGGUGAAAUGCUUAGAUAUCACGAAGAACUCCGAUUGCGAAGGCAGCUCACUAGACUGCAACUGACACUGAUGCUCGAAAGUGUGGGUAUCAAACAGGAUUAGAUACCCUGGUAGUCCACACAGUAAACGAUGAAUACUCGCUGUUUGCGAUAUACAGUAAGCGGCCAAGCGAAAGCAUUAAGUAUUCCACCUGGGGAGUACGCCGGCAACGGUGAAACUCAAAGGAAUUGACGGGGGCCCGCACAAGCGGAGGAACAUGUGGUUUAAUUCGAUGAUACGCGAGGAACCUUACCCGGGCUUAAAUUGCAUUUGAAUAAUCUGGAAACAGGUUAGCCGCAAGGCAAAUGUGAAGGUGCUGCAUGGUUGUCGUCAGCUCGUGCCGUGAGGUGUCGGCUUAAGUGCCAUAACGAGCGCAACCCUUAUCUUUAGUUACUAACAGGUCAUGCUGAGGACUCUAGAGAGACUGCCGUCGUAAGAUGUGAGGAAGGUGGGGAUGACGUCAAAUCAGCACGGCCCUUACGUCCGGGGCUACACACGUGUUACAAUGGGGGGUACAGAAGGCAGCUACCUGGCGACAGGAUGCUAAUCCCAAAAACCUCUCUCAGUUCGGAUCGAAGUCUGCAACCCGACUUCGUGAAGCUGGAUUCGCUAGUAAUCGCGCAUCAGCCAUGGCGCGGUGAAUACGUUCCCGGGCCU